UGCGUAGGCGGACUAAUAAGUCAGUGGUGAAAUCCCGCAGCUUAACUGUGGAACUGUUAUUGAUACUGGUUUUCUUGAAUAUAGUUGAGGUAGGCGGAAUGUGUAAUGUAGCGGUGAAAUGCUUAGAUAUUACACAGAACACCGAUUGCGAAGGCAGCUUACUAAGCUAUGAUUGACGCUGAGGUACGAAAGCGUGGGGAGCGAACAGGAUUAGAUACCCUGGUAGUCC
rnacentral:rRNA from 1 species